UGGGAAUUUUGGACAAUGGGCGAAAGCCUGAUCCAGCAAUGCCGCGUGUGUGAAGAAGGCCUUCGGGUUGUAAAGCACUUUUGUCCGGAAAGAAAUCCUUGGCUCUAAUACAGUCGGGGGAUGACGGUACCGGAAGAAUAAGCACCGGCUAACUACGUGCCAGCAGCCGCGGUAAUACGUAGGGUGCAAGCGUUAAUCGGAAUUACUGGGCGUAAAGCGUGCGCAGGCGGUUUUGCUAAGACCGAUGUGAAAAUCCCCGGGCUCAACCUGGGAACUGCAUUGGUGACUGGCAGGCUAGAGUAUGGCAGAGGGGGGUAGAAUUCCACGUGUAGCAGUGAAAUGCGUAGAGAUGUGGAGGAAUACCGAUGGCGAAGGCAGCCCCCUGGGCCAAUACUGACGCUCAUGCACGAAAAGCGUGGGGAGCAAAACAGGAUUAGAUACCCUGGUAGUCCACGCCCUAAAACGAUGUCAACUAGUUGUUGGGGAUUCAUUUCCUUAGUAACGUAGCUAACGCGUGAAGUUGACCGCCU
rnacentral:rRNA from 1 species